GCAGUAGGGAAUAUUGGUUAAUGGGCGAAAGCCUGAACCAGCAACGCCGCGUGCGCGAUAACGGCCUUCGGGUUGUAAAGCGCUUUUUGAAGGGAAGAGGAAGGACGGUACCUUCAGAAUAAGUCUCGGCUAACUACGUGCCAGCAGCCGCGGUAACACGUAGGAGACGAGCGUUAUCCGGAUUUACUGGGCGUAAAGCGCGUGCAGGCGGUUCAGCAAGUUGGAUGUGAAAGCUCCCGGCUUAACUGGGAGAGGUCGUUCAAGACUACUGGACUAGAGAGUGGUAGAGGGAGGUGGAAUUCCGGGUGUAGUGGUGAAAUGCGUAGAUAUCCGGAGGAACACCAGUGGCGAAAGCGGCCUCCUGGACCAUUUCUGACGCUCAGACGCGAAAGCUAGGGUAGCGAACGGGAUUAGAUACCCGGGUAGUCC
rnacentral:rRNA from 1 species